rnacentral:rRNA from 1 species
CCUACGGGAGGCAGCAGUGAGGAAUAUUGGUCAAUGGGCGCGAGCCUGAACCAGCCAAGUAGCGUGAAGGAUGACUGCCCUACGGGUUGUAAACUUCUUUUAUAACGGAAUAAAGUGAGGCACGUGUGCCUUUUUUUAUGUAUUUUAUGAAUAAGGAUCGGCUAACUCCGCGCCAGCAGCCGCGGUAAUACGGAGGAUCCGAGCGUUAUCCGGAUUUAUUGGGUUUAAAGGCAGCGUAGAUGGGUUGUUAAGUCAGUUGUGAAAGUUUGCGGCUCAACCGUAAAAUUGCAAUUGAUACUGGCAGCCUUGAGUACAGUUGAGGUAGGCGGAAUUCGUGGUGUAGCGGUGAAAUGCUUAGAGAUCACGAAGAACUCCGAUUGCGAAGGCAGCUUACUAAACUGCCACUGACAUUGAUGCUCGAAAGUGUGGGUAGCAAACAGGAUUAGAUACCCGAGUAGUC